AACGCGAAGAACCUUACCUAGGCUUGAAAAGCAGUCUAAACCAGUGAAAGCUGGGUACCCGCAAGGGGGGCUGUACAGGUGCUGCAUGGCUGUCGUCAGCUCGUGCCGUGAGGUGUUGGGUUAAGUCCCGCAACGAGCGCAACCCUCGUUCUAUGUUGCCAGCACGUAAUGGUGGGAACUCAUGGGAUACUGCCGGGGUCAACUCGGAGGAAGGUGGGGAUGACGUCAAAUCAUCAUGCCCCUUAUGUCUUGGGCUUCACGCAUGCUACAAUGGCCAGUACAAUGGGCUGCGAUACCGUAAGGUGGAGCGAAUCCCAAAAAGCUGGUCCCAGUUCGGAUUGAGGUCUGCAACUCGACCUCAUGAAGUCGGAGUCGCUAGUAAUCGCAGAUCAGCAACGCUGCGGUGAAUACGUUCCCGGGCCUUGUACACACCGCGCAUA
rnacentral:rRNA from 1 species